rnacentral:rRNA from 1 species
UAACACAUGCAAGUCGAGCGGUAGAGAGGUGCUUGCAUCUCUUGAGAGCGGCGGACGGGUGAGUAAUGCCUAGGAAUCUGCCUGGUGUGGGGGGAUAACGUUCGGAAACGGACGCUAAUACCGCAUACGUCCUACGGGNGAAAGCGGGGGAUCGCAAGACCUCGCGCGAUUGGGAGCGGCCGAUAUCAGAUUAGGUAGUUGGUGAGGUAAAGGCUCACCAAGCCAACGAUCUGUAGCUGGUCUGAGAGGACGACCAGCCACACUGGGACUGAGACACGGCCCAGACUCCUACGGGAGGCAGCAGUGGGGAAUUUUGGACAAUGGGCGCAAGCCUGAUCCAGCCAUGCCGCGUGCAGGAUGACGGUCCUAUGGAUUGUAAACUGCUUUUGUACAGGAAGAAACACUGGUUCGUGAACCGGCUUGACGGUACUGUAAGAAUAAGGAUCGGCUAACUCCGUG